GGUUAGCUCAGUUGAUAGAGCAUGAGACCCUUAAUCUCAGGGUCAGUGGUUCAAGCCCCAAGUUAUGCA